rnacentral:rRNA from 1 species
GACAGAGGGUGCAAACGUUGCUCGGAAUCACUGGGCGUAAAGGGCGUGUAGGCGGGAAGGAAAGUCAGAUGUGAAAUCCCUGGGCUCAACCCAGGAACUGCAUUUGAAACUCCCUUUCUUGAGUGUCGGAGAGGAAAGCGGAAUUCCUGGUGUAGAGGUGAAAUUCGUAGAUAUCAGGAGGAACACCGGUGGCGAAGGCGGCUUUCUGGACGAUAACUGACGCUGGAGAACGCGAAAGCGUGGGGAGCAAACAGG